CUGGACAUCAGUGGACGUAGAUGUUAUGGUCAAUCUGAGUCACGGUAGUGCAUUUUCCCUGUUUCAGUGUUGGUUUUGUAAAUUCUGUUGUAGCUACGAAAACGAACAGGGAAACAGCGCUCAGAAAGGACAAGGUGUAGCAGAACAUCUCCGGGCAUCUAUUUACCAUGACGACCUACAGUAAAAUGAGACAACUCGUCAUGGAUUUCAAUAUUUAUUGGUAAGCGUCUUUGGGUGACAACCUAUUUUGCAACAGGUCAAUUGUCAUGUCGUUUAUGUACACAGCCAGGUAAUGGUAGCCAGUCUUCAUUGCGUAGUACAUGAUACAUAGACUUUCGGCCACCAGUUGCAUUACGUCGACGUCACGAUCACCGUAAUAGCUGAAUAUGGAGCUCAUCUGUUUUCCCCAUUCGGAGACCAGGUCGAACGGGUGGUCGGAUAGGUGUUCACACUUCCUGUGUACCCUGGCAUACAUUGUUUUUGAAGACUCCCACACAGUCUUUUUCGCGGGAAGGUUCAGAGGCAGGGACUGGAACAGGAAAAUGUCUCUGGUUAUCUUAAAUGCUGCGACGAGCACUGUGUCGUCCGUUGACUUCGAUGAACCGCAUUCUAACACGUCAUUCCAACAGGUAUGAGGACGGCGACAUUUUCCUUGGAUUUGAUGAUCCUGGGUAACGUCUCGCAUGCCGCACACAUCAUCACCCGAUUGGGACCAGGAAUCGCCAGCGUUGGCUGGCUGUUCGACAUCGGACCAGUGAUCGCCAGUCAUUUCGUCAUCGGUGGUGGCAGGUAGUUCUCCGGAACCCAAGUCCUUCUACGACUUCCAGAAGGUUGCAACAGCCGGUCCAACGUGUCCGAAGGAUCAUCGUCGUCAUCAUUGCAUCAGUGUACAACUCGGUUUCAUAAACUAAGCACCCAA